rnacentral:rRNA from 2 species
UAAGCUUGCUUAUUUGGUGGCGAGUGGCGCACGGGUGCGUAACGCGUAUGCAAUCUACCCCUAACAAGAGGAUACCCCGGAGAAAUUCGGAAUAAUAUUCUAUAAUACAUUUGAUUCGCAUGUUUUGAAUGUUAAAGCUAAGGCGGUUAGGGAUGAGCAUGCGUGACAUUAGCUAGUUGGUGAGGUAACGGCUCACCAAGGCAACGAUGUCUAGGGGUUCUGAGAGGAUGAUCCCCCACACUGGUACUGAGACACGGACCAGACUCC